GCGGCGGACGGGUGAGUAACGCGUGGGUAACCUGCCCUAUACACAUGGAUAACAUACUGAAAAGUUUACUAAUACAUGAUAAUAUAUAUUUGCGGCAUCGCAGAUAUAUCAAAGUGUUAGCGGUAUAGGAUGGACCCGCGUCUGAUUAGCUAGUUGGUGAGAUAACUGCCCACCAAGGCGACGAUCAGUAGCCGACCUGAGAGGGUGAUCGGCCACAUUGGAACUGAGACACGGUCCAAACUCCUACGGGAGGCAGCAGUGGGGAAUAUUGCACAAUGGGCGAAAGCCUGAUGCAGCAACGCCGCGUGAACGAUGAAGGUCUUCGGAUCGUAAAGUUCUGUUGCAGGGGAAGAUAAUGACGGUACCCUGUGAGGAAGCCCCGGCUAACUACGUGCCAGCAGCCGCGGUAAUACGUAGGGGGCUAGCGUUAUCCGGAUUUACUGGGCGUAAAGGGUGCGUAGGUGGUCCUUCAAGUCGGUGGUUAAAGGCUACGGCUCAACCGUAGUAAGCCGCCGAAACUGGAGGACUUGAGUGCAGGAGAGGAAAGUGGAAUUCCCAGUGUAGCGGUGAAAUGCGUAGAUAUUGGGAGGAACACCAGUAGCGAAGGCGGCUUUCUGGACUGCAACUGACACUGAGGCACGAAAGCGUGGGUAGCAAACAGGAUUAGAUACCCUGGUAGUCCACGCUGUAAACGAUGAGUACUAGGUGUCGGGGGUUACCCCCCUCGGUGCCGCAGCUAACGCAUUAAGUACUCCGCCUGGGGAGUACGCACGCAAGUGUGAAACUCAAAGGAAUUGACGGGGACCCGCACAAGUAGCGGAGCAUGUGGUUUAAUUCGAAGCAACGCGAAGAACCUUACCUAAGCUUGACAUCCCUCGGACAGGUGUUUAAUCACACCCUUCCUUCGGGACUGAGGUGACAGGUGGUGCAUGGUUGUCGUCAGCUCGUGUCGUGAGAUGUUGGGUUAAGUCCCGCAACGAGCGCAACCCUUGUCUUUAGUUGCCAGCAUUCAGUUGGGCACUCUAGAGAGACUGCCAGGGAUAACCUGGAGGAAGGUGGGGAUGACGUCAAAUCAUCAUGCCCCUUAUGCUUAGGGCUACACACGUGCUACAAUGGGUGGUACAGAGGGUUGCCAAACCGUGAGGUGGAGCCAAUCCCUUAAAGCCAUUCUCAGUUCGGAUUGUAGGCUG
rnacentral:rRNA from 1 species